AUUAUAGCAGUGAGCAUCAGCUUGUUAAGUCCAAACUUAUCUUCCCUGAUGCCAAUCUCCUUCCUGCUGUUUUUAUCAAGAAUAAACAUACGGAUACCAUGGAAUCUAAGAUAGAAACAGUUGACCAAGAGCCCAAUUAUGCUUAUAGAGACUCUUAAGAACAGAAAGAUGAUAUUGCUCCAGACCCAAAUUUUGAAUCAAGUUUCAGUGUCUAUCAUGGUGCCUUCCAUAUGAUGGGAGCGAGAUAAACAUUGGCUGCAUGAAGGAAUCACCGUCACUCACUGGAUGCCCCUCGUGGCGAGCCUCACUGAGGUCUAAUGCAGCCUCCUGAACAUGCUAAGGCUUUACCUUCUUCCCCAAGACUCUUCCUUCUGCUGUUCAAGUAUUCAAGAUAAAUGAGGUCAGCUGUAGACAAUAACGUCAGCCUUCACAGACUACAGGUCCCAGCGCCCAAAGUCUCCUCCUUUUACCUGCUAACUAUUAACUGAGGAUGCACAGCACAAUCUUCAGAGGGUGGCGUACGGACAGCUCCAAUUUUUCAGAGCUCCACUUCAACAGCAAGCCUCUAUCUGAACGUCCAGACUCCCUCCUGAUAUCUGUCCUAUUGUCUGUCCUCCCUCCACCAAGAAUAAAGCCAUCUACCUUGUGA